rnacentral:rRNA from 1 species
GACGAACGCUGGCGGCGUGCUUAACACAUGCAAGUCGAACGGAAAGGCCCCUUUGGGGGUACUCGAGUGGCGCACGGGUGAGUAACACGUGAGUAACCUGCCCUUGACUUCGGGAUAACUUCAGGAAACUGGGGCUAAUACCGGAUAGGAAUCCUUGCUGCAUGGUGGGGGUUGGAAAGCUUCGGCGGUUUUGGAUGGACUCGCGGCUUAUCAGCUUGUUGGUGGGGUAGUGGGUUACCAAGGCUUUGACGGGUAGCCGGCCUGAGAGGGCGACCGGCGACAUUGGGACUGAGGAACGGCCCAGACUCCGACGGGAGGAAGAAGGGGGGAAUAUUGAACCAUGGGCGGCAGCCGGAUGCAGAAACGCCGCGUGCGGGAUGACGGGCUUCGGGUUGUAAACCGGCUUCAGCAGGGGCGAAGCUUGUGGUGACGGUACCUGCAGAAGAAGCACCGGCUAACUACGUG